UACGAAGGGUGCAAGCGUUACUCGGAAUUACUGGGCGUAAAGCGUGCGUAGGUGGUUUGCUAAGUCUGAUGUGAAAGCCCUGGGCUCAACCUGGGAACUGCAUUGGAAACUGGCUGACUAGAGUGCGGUAGAGGGGUGUGGAAUUCCCGGUGUAGCAGUGAAAUGCGUAGAUAUCGGGAGGAACACCAGUGGCGAAGGCGACACCCUGGACCAGCACUGGCACUGAGGCACGAAAGCGUGGGAGCAAAC
rnacentral:rRNA from 1 species